GAGCUGUGAGGAUUUAGGUU
rnacentral:siRNA from 1 species